AAAAAAAAAAAAGGAUUGUGGAACCUGAUCACCAAGAAAUAGUGCCUGAACAACUUUGGGCAACUACAUUUCAAUAAUACUAUAUUCCAUACAUAAAUUAAUGCAGGUCAAGUCCUAGGCAUUUAAAAUUAAUUCAGGUAAUGAUUCUGAUCAAAGAACAUGAAAGUUGCUGUUACCAUAUAACAUUGUCUCAAAAAUAGACAAAGGCUCCACCAGUCUUAUUUUCAAUUUCAAACAUCCAAUCAACAAACUUCUUUCUCUUGUAAAUCAAGCAUCUCAUUUAUCUAACCAAUCUAGGCCAUGAAUUAACCCAGUCAACUAGCAAAGGCUUUUAUAAAUUUCUAACAUUGUUCUUUUUACUAAUGAUAUCACCUGCUUUACACAUACCUGAGGGUCCACAUCUGGAUUG
rnacentral:misc_RNA from 1 species